ACCCUUGCCUGGCCGUUGCCUCGCAGUGCUGGGCAGGGCAGCGGCGGGGCGGGUGUGAGUGAGGGUGUGGAUGUGACAGAUAAUCCAGAGGAGCCUUCGGGGUAUGUGUGGGCGCCAUGGUUUCCUUGAUGGUCCUGCUACUGCUCCUUGUCGGCUCCGUGAUGACAGCCGGCUACCACCCGGCCCUGCUGGACGUGAACGGGGAUAUGGUCGUGUACGACUCCGGCACCGAGAAGCCUUUCUGCUACCCGGGCGCCAAUCAGCCGUACAAGAGCAUCUUCACGACGCCCUCCGCGGCCACAGCCAGGAACAUUGGCCGUGUCCUCUGCCGCAGCCUGGGAUACACCCAUCUCGUGAGAGAGUACAGCAUUCCAGCCAAUGGCAUCGAGGGCAGCCGUUUGUUGAUCCUGUGUCAGGGCUACGAGCGGCUCAUCGAACAGUGCACGGCGGACAAAGGUGCCAAGAAUGACUGCGACGAAUUCCUGGCCCUCGACUGUGGCCGGUGCUCAGAGACUCGCCAGGUGGAGAUGGGGGAGAAGGUCGAGAUCAUAAGCCCUGAGUACCCCAACUACACCGACGCGGCCGUGUGUGAGUGGCAGCUGCAGGCCUCGAGCAGGGCAUCCUUCUCCGUCAAGUUCCUGAAUUUCAGGCUCCCUAACACCGACAAUAAGGGUAAUUGCUACGUGGGCUACCUGGAGGUGUCGCGGGAGGUGGACGGCGAGGUGGUGGAGGCCAUGGUGAAGUGUGGCAGCGCCGUGCCUUUGCCCCUCACGCUGGAGGCCGACACCUUGAUCCUCAGGUUCUCCUCCGGCACGUUCUAUCCAAGACCAUACAGCUCACUGCGAGGGUUCAAGGCAGUUGUCACCGUCUCGCCUGUCGCCUGGAGCCCGAGACGUCUAGCCACGAUGGAGGUGGUUUCCAUCGCUAUGGGUAUUCUUCUACUCCUGGUCAUCACAGUGGUUGUAUUUUGCAUACUUUAUCGCGGCAGAUUCAGGCGGCGAAGGUGGACGCGGCGCCGGAGCAGGCAGCGGAAACUCAUGCAGGAGCGGCUGGCCUCGCAGCGACCCAGCUACCACGAAGCAGUAGCCCUGACGGCGAUGCUGGCCGGCAUGGUGACCAAGAACCACGACUUGCACCACGAUAACGGCGGCACGACAACGGGCACCAGCGGGAGGGGCAACAGCUUGCCUGAUACAGGGAGGCCUCGAGGGGCAAGGCAGUGGACUAGGGAGUCAUGCGCGUCCCGAACAAGCAGCGUGCCCCUGCAGAUGACCAGCUGCCCACCACUGCCGCCGCCACCGCCCUCCUCCGUCCCGCCCCCGGCCAGACGCUACUAUAAUCUGCACGCCCUGGACGCACUACAGGGGAGCGAGGAGCAGCCCAUCUACAUGGAGGUGGACGAGUGUUCCAGGACGCCGUUCCAGGCUUACCUUCAACUGCACGAGUUGAACCCACCAAGACCUGAUGCCAUGCUCCGAGCGUCGCUCAACAGCUCGGUGUCUACCAGCGGUGGCCCCGCCGUGUCCCCGCGGCUUGCCGCGCCCACCAUUCGCCAAAGCUCCAGCCAGCCACACCUCUGCCCCGACCAACCGUCUUCUCCAUCUCCCACCUUACGAAAUGUAUUCUCCAACAAGCUAAAUGUAUGGCCCAGUAACUCCUCCCUCUCUCCGUCCAUUAAAACUCUUUCUUCCAUUGGCAAUACUUCCAAAGCUUCGAUGGGGAGUCACAUUAAUUAUUUUGUUCAGAGUCGCUCUGUAUCUUCCCGCGGUAGCAGUCUUUCCUUCAACGUGGAGAAUAUUUCUCCAUACUCCAAUCGCACCCUUUCGCGCCCCUUGCACCUCUCACUCAGCCCGUGUGGGGGCACUGCCAGCAAAGAACUCUCUCCGUGUAGUCCCAUGGAAGGGACAAGAACAGACGGUCGACGAUUGCCCGCGCUGCAUCUGGACGGGACUCCCUUGUUAACAUCGUCGGUCUUGGAAAAAUGGGGCCGCGGGACGUCCUCCAACAGCUGCGACAGUGUGUUCACCGUGGACGGGAGUGACUUUCGUGCCCAGAUGCGGUGUGUGUGCGGCUCCAGCCACAGCCACGGUAAUAGACCUCUCGCCGCAGAGCAGAAACAGAAGCUCUCCAAGUCCUGCGGGGACGUGUCUCACAUCUCGACCAUCCCGAAGCAGCUGAGCAUGACGGAGCUGGUGCGCUCGGAGCCUAUCCUGCCAAGGAGCCAGACCACGCCUCGUCUGGUGGCUCCUGUCCUGCGACGCGUCUCGCAGAUGUUUUUCAGUUCCUCUCCCUUCUCUGAAUCCUUGGAGGCCGUGGACGAUGCCGGUGCUGACGGGGCAUUGGGAGUGGCAGUGGCGGCUGGUUCGGGGGAGGGGGAGGUGCGCUGCGAUAAGCGGGGAACUGGAACAUGGCGACUCAAAAGAAAUGCUUCGCGCCGCGCCAUGUCCACCUCGUCGGGCACAUUCUUCCCCUUCAGGGUUAUAAUGUGCUGCUGCCACAAGAGUAGAUAUGCAAUCUGUACAGGUGGCAGCGUAUCGGCAUGGCAGAAGAACCACUGUCUUGGCCAGAAUGCCCGCAAUGGAGGACAAGGCCCAAAAUACCAUCUCUAAUUAGUUGGGGAAAUGUUGGUGUCAUCCUUCUUUGUCCCACGAAUUGAGAGAAGAAUAGUUUUGGGUCGAGCCAUAACUUGGCUCGACUCGACUCGUGUCUGAAGGUAUAGUCGGCUGCAGAACGUGUGCAACAACGACGGGGCCAAAGCCAGUUCCGGUGGUGCCAGCAAAGAAGCGAACGCCACGCGGGGUGCAGGCAGUGCGCCGUAGUCGCAGGCGGCAACAACCCACAAGAUGUACCUCCUUAACCUCUCAUGGGCACCCGGAGCACCUACAUGGUUGCAGGUGGCACCUAAGACUUUCUGAUUAUUGGGCGGCAAUAACAUUUUUAAUUCAGUUUAACUCUUUAAGAUUCAAUGAAGCCGUAGGUUCGAAUAUUUAUUUGUGGUGUUCAACAUAAAUCUUGAAUUGUUUGAUUUCGCGGUUGACGAUAUAUAGAAUUGAAAUGUUAUAACUUUUAGUCUAUGGGGCCACCACCCUAUAAUGUAUGGGCGUAGGCAAAUGAAUGUAGAAAAGGUCAUUCAGCUUUAUAUUUUCUUUUGAUAAAAAAACUUUUGUUAAUAAGAAGUUUGUUCUAAAUAUAUGGAAAUUUGCUAGCAAACAUUAUAUGGGGUUUUAUUUCUUUAAAAGUAACAAAACAAUGAUAAAAGCAGUAAGAUAAAAAAAGUGAUAAUAAAAAUUGGUUUGAGAGGAAGUAAACAAAUAAAUAUUUAUUGACCUCAAAUUCAAGGUUCAUGUAAAACAUAUCUACUCUAAAAAUGUAACACAACUCACAUUCUUACAUUCAAUAAAUACAAGAAAACACAACACAAAUGUAAAAGUAAACAAAUUUAAGCAAGCAGUCCAGCACAAAAGAUAUGACGAGCAUACAAACUUGAUAGAUAUAUCAAAUACUUUGUAAAAUGUUAAAAUUCCUAAAACUUUCAAUGACAUGGCUUGAGUUAACCGAAAAUGAUCUCCGAAACAAGACGAGCAUUAGAAUAUGCUGUCUGAACCCAAAACGUAAAGCUGUCUUGAUCUUGUCUUAAGUUAGCGGACACACCUCCAGUGAGUGCAGCUUCCUCCGCGGUGCGCCGCGUGGGCUCCGCCACCUCAAGAUGUCUCCGCCCACGCCUAUUCGAGCUGCCUGUCUGUACCACGAGUUUAUGACUGACGACCCAUAGUCGACAGAGGACAGUUCGUGCACUCUUGUUGAUUUGACCGCUGCUAGAGUGUUCCGACGUCCGAUUUUAGCCCGGACAGUCCAGUUUUUUAGUAUUCUGCCCUCCGUCUGAAGCCACCUUUAGGCAGGACGAUAACUCAUUCUCUUUUUGCGUCUUUACAAAAAUUACUUAUAUCGAUCACAACUUAUAUUUGAAUAGCGGGACUGAACUCAGAAUAAUCGUAACCACGGAUUUACUUUUUAGUUGUCGUUAACAAAACUACCACAGAACCGCAGUGUAGUAAAGACAUGGUCAGUGAGAUUAAAAAAAAAAGCCUCCUGGAGAUGGUAAGUAAACGGAAGAAAUGAAAAAAAAAAAA